GCUUGAACUGCAGCAGAACGAUUCAGAGAUGAUGAGGCCCUUCGGGGGCUGGCUGUGGGGGUGCUGCAUGGUGUCGUCAGCUCGUGCCGUGAGGUGUCGGCUUAAGUGCCAUAACGAGCGCAACCCCUUUCGCCAGUUGCCAUCCAGGUGAUGCUGGGCACUCCGGCGAUACUGCCAACAAGAUAAGGUGUGAGGAAGGUGGGGAUGACGUCAAAUCAGCACGGCCCUUACGUCCGGGGCUACACACGUGUUACAAUGGGGAGUACAGAGAGUCAGGUGCCGGCAACGUCACCUUAAUCAAGAAAGCUCUCCUCAGUUCGGAUUGGGGUCUGCAACCCGACCCCAUGAAGCUGGAUUCGCUAGUAAUCGCGCAUCAGCCAUGGCGCGGUGAAUACGUUCCCGGGCCUUGUACACACCGCCCUAAUCUG
rnacentral:rRNA from 1 species